GUGAGGAAUAUUGGUCAAUGGGCGGGAGCCUGAACCAGCCAAGUCGCGUGAAGGAAGAAGGAUCUAUGGUUCGUAAACUUCUUUUGCAGGGGAAUAAAGUGCAGGACGUGUCCUGUUUUGUAUGUACCCUGAGAAUAAGGAUCGGCUAACUCCGUGCCAGCAGCCGCGGUAAUACGGAGGAUCCGAGCGUUAUCCGGAUUUAUUGGGUUUAAAGGGUGCGUAGGUGGUUUGAUAAGUCAGCGGUGAAAGUUUGCAGCUUAACUGUAAAAAUGCCGUUGAAACUGUCGGACUUGAGUGUAAAUGAGGUAGGCGGAAUGCGUGGUGUAGCGGUGAAAUGCAUAGAUAUCACGCAGAACUCCGAUUGCGAAGGCAGCUUACUAAGCUACAACUGACACUGAAGCACGAAAGCGUGGGGAUCAAACAGGAUUAGAAACCCGUGUAGUC
rnacentral:rRNA from 1 species